rnacentral:rRNA from 1 species
CCUACGGGGGGCUGCAGUGGGGAAUAUUGGACAAUGGGCGCAAGCCUGAUCCAGCCAUGCCGCGUGGAUGAUGAAGGCCUUAGGGUUGUAAAGUCCUUUCGACGGGGAAGCGGUACCCGUAGAAGAAGCCCCGGCUAACUUCGUGCCAGCAGCCGCGGUAAUACGAAGGGGGCUAGCGUUGCUCGGAAUCACUGGGCGUAAAGCGCACGUAGGCGGACUCUUAAGUCGGUGGUGAAAUCCUGGAGCUCAACUCCAGAACUGCCUUCGAUACUGAGAGUCUUGAGUCCGGGAGAGGUGAGUGGAACUGCGAGUGUAGAGGUGAAAUUCGUAGAUAUUCGCAAGAACACCAGUGGCGAAGGCGGCUCACUGGCCCGGACUGACGCUGAGGUGCGAAAGCGUGGGGAGCAAACAGGAUUAAUACCCUUGUAGUC